rnacentral:lncRNA from 1 species
AGUAAAGGAGGCCAGUGCCGUGAGGGUUAUCUCGCGGCCCCAGAUGCUGGAUAAGUUGAAGAAGGCAGAAUCGCUUUGGAUGACAUUCAGGUCUGAAUGAUGAUUUGGAGAAGAAAAGACUAUUCUUUCCAAGGUAAACAGUCCAUUUCAUCUGUC